GGAGAGGUGCCAGAGUGGUCGAAUGGGGCGCUCUCGAAAAGCGUUGCGCCUGUUACAGGGUGCCGUGGGUUCGAAUCCCACCCUCUCCGCCA
rnacentral:tRNA from 2 species